GACAGAGGUGGCAAGCGUUGUUCGGAUUCAUUGGGUGUAAAGGGUGCGUAGGCGGUUUGGAAAGUCAGAUGUGAAAUACUACAGCUCAACUGUAGAACUGCAUUUGAAACUUCCAGGCUAGAGUGUGGAAGAGGUGAAGGGAAUUCCCGGUGUAAGGGUGGAAUCUGCAGAUAUCGGGAAGAACACCAGUAGCGAAGGCGCUUCACUGGUCCAUUACUGACGCUGAGUGCACGAAGGUGUGGGGAGCAAA
rnacentral:rRNA from 1 species